AGAGUUUGAUCCUGGCUCAGAACGAACGCUGGCGGCGUGCCUAACACAUGCAAGUCGUACGAGAAAAUCCGCUUCGGCGGGUGAGUAAAGUGGCGCACGGGUGAGUAACGCGUGGAUAAUCUGCCUUUAAGCGGGGAAUAACUUACCGAAAGGUGGGCUAAUACCCCAUAAAGCUAUGGAGCUCCGGUUUUCAUAGCCAAAGAGAGCCUCUGCAUGCAAGCCCUCACUUAGAGAUGAGUCCGCGUACCAUUAGCUAGUUGGUGGGGUAAUGGCCUACCAAGGCGACGAUGGUUAGCUGGUCUGAGAGGAUGGUCAGCCACACUGGAACUGAGACACGGUCCAGACUCCUACGGGAGGCAGCAGUGAGGAAUAUUGCGCAAUGGGGGCAACCCUGACGCAGCAACGCCGCGUGAGUGAGGAAGGUUUUCGGAUCGUAAAGCUCUGUCGGGUGGGAAGAAAUGUAUGGAGGUUAACAGCCUUUGUACUUGACGGUACCGCCAAAGGAAGCACCGGCUAACUCCGUGCCAGCAGCCGCGGUAAUACGGGGGGUGCUAGCGUUGUUCGGAAUCAUUGGGCGUAAAGAGCGUGUAGGCGGCUAGGCAAGUCAGAUGUGAAAUCCCUGGGCUUAACCCAGGACGUGCAUUUGAAACUGCUUGGCUUGAGUAGGGAAGAGGGAAGUGGAAUUCCUGGUGUAGAGGUGAAAUUCGUAGAUAUCAGGAGGAACACCGGUGGCGAAGGCGACUUCCUGGUCCUAUACUGACGCUGAGACGCGAGAGCGUGGGGAGCAAACAGGAUUAGAUACCCUGGUAGUCCACGCCGUAAACGAU
rnacentral:rRNA from 1 species